rnacentral:ncRNA from 1 species
AGAAUGUCAAUGAUGAAGAGAGUAAUCAUGAAGAGGGAAGAUAGAGAAUCGGGGAUGGUGGAAGCCUGGUCGAACUCAAAUGAUGAACCGCACUUCGGAGACGCCUGCCUGAAUGAUAGUGUAGGGCCGGCCGGGACUCGCCCGUUAACAGAACAAAGCUGGUUUCGUUACGGAACAAAAAGAGUGGCACCGCGAAGUAUCAACUCUCGUCUCUUAU